GAUUCAAGGUAAAUUUAUAAUAAUCACUUGUUUUAUUGGGUUAAGGUGCAAGGGAAAGGCUUAAGCAAUGGUCUAGUUUUUGUUUAGUAUGAUAUAGUAUUUUCAAGAUGUGUAGUUACGUAAUUUUUUCAAAGUUUAGCAGAGUUCAGGUCUUUGCAAGUUUAAGAAUGGUCAAAUUGGGUUUUAUCAAGAUCAAUAUUGUUAGUUUUUCAAAGUUUAGCAGAGUUCAGGUCUUUGCAAGUUUAAGAAUGGUCAAAUUAGGUUUUAUCAAGAUCAAUAUUGUUAGUUUUUUCAAAGUUUAGCAGAGUUCAGGUCUUUGCAAGUUUAAGAAUGGUCAAAUUAGGUUUUAUCAAGAUCAAUAUUGUUAGUUUUUUCAAAGUUUAGCAGAGUUCAGGUCUUUGCAAGUUUAAGAAUGGUCAAAUUGGGUUUUAUCAAGAUCAAUAUUGUUAGUUUUUUUUAAGUUCAGCAGAGUUCAGGUCUUUAUAAGUUUAAGAAUGGUUUGGUUAGGUUUUAUCAAGAUCAAUAUUGUUAAUUUUUCAAAGUUUAGCAGAGUUCAGGUCUUUGCAAGUUUAAGAAUGGUCAAAUUGGGUUUUAUCAAGAUCAAUAUUGUUAGUUUUUCAAAGUUUAGCAGAGUUCAGGUCUUUGCAAGUUUAAGAAUGGUUUGGUUAGGUUUUAUCAAGAUCAAUAUUGUUAGUUUUUUUUAAGUUCAGCAGAGUUCAGGUCUUUGCAAGUUUAAGAAUGGUCAAAUUAAGUUUUAUCAAGAUCAAUAUUGUUAGUUUUUUUUAAAGUUUAGCAGAGUUCAGGUCUUUAUAAGUUUAAGAAUGGUUUGGUUAGGUUUUAUCAAGAUCAAUAUUGUUAGUUUUUUUUAAGUUCAGCAGAGUUCAGGUCUUUGCAAGUUUAAGAAUGGUUUGGUUAGGUUUUAUCAAGAUCAAUAUUGUUAGUUUUUUUUAAGUUCAGCAGAGUUCAGGUCUUUGCAAGUUUAAGAAUGGUUUGGUUAGGUUUUAUCAAGAUCAAUAUUGUUAGUUUUUUUAAAGUUUAGCAGAGUUCAGGUCUUUAUAAGUUUAAGAAUGGUCAAAUUAGGUUUUAUCAAGAUCAAUAUUGUUAUUUUUUUUUUAAGUUCAGCAGAGUUCAGGUCUUUAUAAGUUUAAGAAUGGUUUGGUUAGGUUUUAUCAAGAUCAAUAUUGUUAAUUUUUCAAAGUUUAGCAGAGUUCAGGUCUUUGCAAGCUAAGAAUGGUCAAAUUAAGUUUUAUCAAGAUCAAUAUUGUUAAAUUUACUCAACAUUUAGUAUAGCUCAGCCUUCCAAAUGUUAAGAAUUUUCAAAGUUAGUUUUCUCUAUUAAAUGAGCUCUAGGUUUUGCUACGGUACAAAAAUAGAGUUUGUGAAUGCGAAGGCAGAUUAAGGAAAAAGCAAUUAUGUAUUUUGAAAGUUUUAAGUCCAGUAAAUUAACAAUAAGGUCAGGUCAGGAAAAGCUAAAUAUGGUCACUAUUCCUCAGUUUACAUUCCGAGUCAGUUGUUCAGCUUCACAAUGCUUACUCUGGGGCCAAGGCUGGGUGCUAAUGGGGGUAUCACACUGGGCAAAUUUUCCGUGGAUCUUCAGUCAAACCACGAUUUCCGCUGGCGUGAUUCUCAUAUUUCCGUGGUUUUCUGACGUGUCCACGAUCUUCCAAAGCUACGGUAGAUUUCACCCAAGGAUGACGGUAUUACUCAUCAUCAUCAUCAGCAAUAACAAGAAACAAAUGAGAACGACGCUAGCGGAAAUCGUGGCUUGACUGAAGAUGGGGGCUUCGUGGUGCAGUGGUUAGCACACUCGGCUCACAACCGAAAGAGCCCAGGUUCGAUUCCCGGGCGGAGUGGAAAAAUUUGGGUGGCUUUUCCGAUACCCUACGCCCCUGUCCACCCAGCAGUGCAUGGGUACCAGGUAUUAAUCGGGGGUUGUGUCCUGUCUCCUGGGGUCUGUUCCCUUCUCCUAUAAUUCCUUCCCCUCCUGUCUCUCUCCGGCAUAUGACCACAGAUGUUGGGUUGUGUCCCGUCUCCUGGGGUCUGUUCCCUUCUCCUAUAAUUCCUUCCCCUCCUGUCUCUCUCCGGCAUAUGACCACAGAUGUUGGGUUGUGUCCCGUCUCCUGGGGUCUGUUCCCUUCUCCUAUAAUUCCUUCCCCUCCUGUCUCUCUCCGGCAUAUGACCACAGAUGUUGGGUUGUGUCCCGUCUCCUGGGGUCUGUUCCCUUCUCCUAUAAUUACUUCCACUUCUGUCUCUCUCCGUCAUAUGACCACAGAUGUUGGGUUGUGUCCCGUCUCCUGGGGUCUGUUCCCUUCUCCUAUAAUUCCUUCCCCUUCUGUCUCUCUCCGGCAUAUGACCACAGAUGUUGGGUUGUGUCCCGUCUCCUGGGGUCUGUUCCCUUCUCCUAUAAUUCCUUCCCCUCCUGUCUCUCUCCGGCAUAUGACCACAGAUGUUGCGCCCACUAAACAAAACUUUCCAACUUGACUGAAGAUGCACGGAAAAUUUGCCCCUUUAGGGUGCUGGGUGCUGCCGCUGGGUGCUGGACUAGUGCUGAGAUGUAAUAUUAAGUAAUUUAUGUACCUAAGAAUCUUUAGUUAUAUAUAAGGUAAAGAUUUUAAUUUUUUUGAUAUGCAUUAGUGAUAUCUCUUUCAUGUUGGGUCUAAUUCUUUAUAUAUUUGUGGGAUCCGAUUCUACUCUUGAAAUAUGGGAAUAGGAAUGAAAGGGCACUAGGAAUCCAACUCUCCUCUCUCUGUAUACAUUUGAGCUUGAUUCUAUUCCCUUGUAUAUAUAUUUCUAGGGUCCAAUUCUAUGCUGUAUUUACUUGUGAGGUCUAACCUAUACCUUUAUAAACUUGUAGGAUCCAAUUCUGUCUCUGUAUGUUAAUGAGGCUUGAUUCUAUUGCUUUACAUAUACUUGUGGGGUCCAAUUCUAUUACUUAUAUAUAUUUGUGGGGUCCAAUUCUAUUACUUAUAUAUAUUUGUGGGGUCCAAUUCUAUUACUUAUAUAUAUUUGUGGGGUCCAAUUCUAUUACUUAUAUAUAUUUGUGGGGUCCAAUUCUAUUACUUAUAUAUAUCUGUAGGAUCUGAUUCUAUUACUUAUAUAUAUUUGUGGGGUCCAAUUCUAUUACUUAUAUAUACUUGUGGGGUCCUAUUCUAUUACUUAUAUAUAUCUGUAGGAUCUGAUUCUGUUCCUGAAAUGCUGGAAUCAGAACAGAAGGAGCCAGGAAUCCAACUCUUCAAUUUAUAUGGGAAUGGGAAUUUAUAUGGGAAUGCUUUCAAUGUAUGUUACUGACCCUCUUUAGGUGUGUGUUCGUAAGUCCGUUCAUGCUUUGGGGUGUGUGUUAAUAUGUUGGUUCUCCUUGCAGUGCCAGAACAAGUGAAAUAAGAAGCAACAGUGCCGCGCCAUCAUAGGCCUCGUCACUUCACCCCACUCCUCACCCCCCCCUCUGUAGAUGUGUAGAUAUGGCCCCCCUCAGCCUACGUCCCCCACUCACACUGGGGCGAGCGUAGCAACCCGCCAUAACGUGUAUUUUGUAUUUCCUUGGACCUGUUAACCUUCCCACAUAUCCUCUACUCUCUCGUCAUCCGUUCGGCUAUAUUUUUUUUUUUAUUUAUUUAUUUCCUGAUCUCUCUAUCUAUCUCUCUCUCUCUAGUAUUGUUUUUAGAAGCCUGACUAAUGCAUUUUUCCAUAUACUUUCUGUUUUAAUUCACAUUCUAGUCAGUCUUUCUUCAUCUCCCUAUCUCCUUUCUUUCUCUCUUUUUCUCCGUUCCGACUUCCUAUCUCUUCCUUCGUCUCCUUCUUCUUCUUCUUCUUCUUCAGAGUUUUCCCUUUUCCUGGUUCUCUCUCGACUAGCCGUUCACAUUUUCCUUCGCCUUCUUGCAGUUUCCUCACUAGCAUUUCUCUCUCUCCCUUGGUUCUCCCUGCUAGUUUUCCUCCUCCUUCUGCAAGCUUUUUUUCCUCUUCCUCUUCCUGCUAGCCAUCGUCUUCCUCUUCCCUUGUUUCUCCCUGCUAGUUUUCCUCCUCCUUCUGCAAGCUUUUUUUCCUCUUCCUCUUCCUGCUAGCUAUCGUCUUCCUCUUUUCUGCGUUCUCCCUGCUAGUCUUCCUCUUCCUCUUCCUCCUAAUUGCUAUAUCUUCCUUUUCCUCCUGCUGUUCUUGCUAGUAUUCCUCUUCCUCUUUCUGCUUUACCCUGCUAGUUCUCCUCCUCCUCCUCCUCCUCCUCCUAGUAACCAUAACCUUGGCUGUCUGUUGCAGUUCACAAAGCUCCCGUCAGGUGGUAGCAAAGAGCCGCUAGUCAAUAGUCUCCUCGCUAGACUAACACUCCUAGCUGUAACCUGCCACCACCACCACCACCACCACCUCCUUCACCCCCUCCUUCGUGUCCUGGGCUUCUUGUGGCCAUUCAAAGAUCUCAGCUUCCUGAAGGAGUGUCGCAGCCCCCAGGAGGCUCCCCCCGACCCGCUCUGACCCACCGCCGCUGUCACUGGCAUCGCUGGGGUCACUGCCGUAAUGCGCCUCGGACGAUACUGUACUUUUUUUGUGUGUGUUCGCGUUAGAGGAUGUACUAGUGUAGUUUUGGGAUCCCUUCUUGUUAUGUGGCGGUGAAGCAGAGAGCCAGCCAUCCAGCCAGCCAGCCAGCCUGUCAGCCAGCCAGUCCCUUGUCCUGGUCCGCCCGGUGCAGGCGUUGCUGUGAGCCCAUUGCUCCCUCCGCCCCCGCCGCUGCCGCCGCCCUGUACGUCACCUAUUCACUGUUGACGAAUAGAAUAAAACAUUAAAACACACCACCACCCA